rnacentral:lncRNA from 1 species
UUCUGAUAAGCCUUUCAGAGUAUAUGUUCGACGCGAGAAGAAGGUGGAGGAAGAAGAGAAGAGCUGAAGUGGCUAAGAGGACACGUGGAGGAAGUUGAGAGGAAGAAUAGUGUGAACACGUAGAGUAGAGUGUGAACACAUAUACUAUAAAUAAAGAGUCAUGUUGACUAUAGGGGGUAUGUUGAAUUGUGUUUAGAGUGGCGAUAUGAGCUACAGGAAUUCUGUUAUGGUCGUUAUGAGAUCUAACGGAUUCUGAUACAGGAGAAGAGAUAUCUUGUAUUCUAUUCACAAUCGAUAUACGAAGCAUUUACAGAGAGAUUCAUAGUAGAUUCUAUCAAAAUGGUGCGUAGUGACAAGAUCGAAGUAUCGCAGAGAGGAAACACCGAUAGUGAAAUGGGAAGCGAAGACGAUGAGGGAGGAAUUUCGUCGGUGAAAGAAGAAUUGAAAUAUCUGCAAGGAGGAUUUCAGCGAUUGUGCAAAACAUCAACGGAAACGGAAACGCGAAUAACGGAGCUCGAUUCGAAGCUCGAGUCAAUAUUAUCAGCGAUUCAACAGCAAUCGCGACUUCCGGCGAGAUCUGACGGCGGUGCACAACCGAUUGAGAUACCGGAAACAUCUCAAACCGCAAAUCAGGUACACAACCCUAAUCUGGGAACUUACCGGAAUGAUUACCCGCUAGGUUAUCGGCCAGGUCAUUCUGAUCUCGCGAAUAGAGAAAGUAUGCUCAAGAAGAUCGAAAUGCCGAUUUUCGACGGAACAUCACCGUAUAUGUGGAUCGCAGACGUUGAACAGUUUUUUCAGCUUGGUAGAUAUGAUGAUGAUGCGAAAUUAGAUCUGGUCGCAUUGACACUGACUGGGAAAGUUAAGAAGUGGUAUAUUUGGGUGAGAAAACGUCAAGGAUUUCGCAGUUGGAGGGAUUUUCUGGACAAAAUGUUGCUCAGAUUUGCAGAUAAAUUGGAAGAUGAACCAGGCAAGAGACUGUACUCGAUCAGGCAAACGGGUUCAAUCAGUGACUACGUAACAGAGUUUGAAGAUCUGUCAGCUCAAGUACCAGGCGUUGAUGACAAAGGAUUAGAAGAUAUUUUUUACAAUGGUUUGACUCAAGAAAUGAAAGAAGUCAUAAAGAUGAAGGAACCAAAAGGAUUGGCAAAUCACAUAGCUGCAGUGCUGAAAAUGGAAAGCAGUAUGUUUUGUAAAGUGGUAGGAGAAGUGAACAGAAAGGAUACAGGACAGACGAUAACAACAGGAUACCAACAACGACAGUACAAUUCCUUCAUCAACAAUAAACAAGGGAUACAACCGUUCAAACCUAAAGUGCUACAGAUUGAGAAAAAUGAGAAUAAAGACCAACAACCAACAGAGAGACAACAGCUAAGACCAAGACAGAAAUUCACUGAUGCUGAGCUAGAUUUGAAAAGAAGUAAAGGUCUAUGCUUCAAAUGCGAUGCCAAAUGGUUCUGAGGUCAUGAGAAUAUCUGUCCAAAAAGAGAACUUCGAGUAUUAACAGUUCUGAAUGGUUUUGAAGUGGAGGUUCUAGACGACAGUAUGUUUGAGUUGAGUGACGACGAGAUGCAAAAAGGGGAACUAAGGCACUUAUCAUUGAAUGCUUUUUUAGGGAUCAAAUCACCAAAAACAACAAAGAUCCACGGCACAAUUGGGAACACUAAAGUAAUCAUCAUGUUGGACAGUGGAGCAUCUCAUAACUUCAUUGCACCUUCAACUGUAUCUCAAGCCAAGUUACAAGUGACAGAGAAUGCUUCACUAGACGUUUUGUUGGGAAAUGGACUUCAGGUCAGAGGUUUGGGGACAUGUAACAAGGUGUGAUUCACAUUAUCACGUUUUGAAUUCACAGCAGACUUCAUAGCUCUUGAACUGGGUAAUGUGGACAUGAUUCUGGGCGUACAAUGGCUUGAGACACUCGGGAAAUGUCUGGUAGACUGGAAAAAACAGGAAUUUUCAUUCCAAUAUGGGGAUCAGUGGAUCACACUGUAUGGAGACACCAAUUUACACCAUCAACGAGUGUCCCUCAAAUCGUUUACCAAUCCAGCGAUAAUCAAAUCGAAAGGAGUAUUACUGGAGUUCAAAGGAACACGAGUGGAAGACAAGAAAGAAUUGGAAAUGCACCCUGCUAUAGCAGACCUGUUAGAAGAAUUUGAGCAUGUUUUUGCAAUCCCUACGGGAUUACCACCUAUACGGGUCGAGAGCAUAGCAUCACAUUGGUAAAUGGAGCAGGACCAAUCAAUGUGAGACCGUAUAGGUAUCCGCAUAUGCAUAAGGAAGUCAUGGAGAAAAUGGUAAGGGAGAUGCUAGAGGCCGGGACCAUAAGACAAAGUGUGAGUCCGUACUCUAGCCCUGUCCUUUUAGUCAAGAAGAAGGACGCAAGUUGGCGCUUCUGUAUUGACUAUAGGGCAUUAAACCGAGCCACUAUCCCUGACAAAUUUCCUAUUCCAAUGAUCGAUGAACUCUUGGAUGAAUUGCAUGGAGCGGUAGUCUUCUCGAAAUUGGACUUGAGAUCAGGUUACCAUCAGAUAAGAAAGAAGGAAACUGAUAUAGAGAAGACAGCGUUUAGAACGCAUGAUGGUCACUAUGAGUUCGUUGUAAUGCCUUUCGGCUUGACGAAUGCACCAGCGACAUUCCAAUCACUGAUGAAUGAUCUAUUUCGACUGUUUCUUCGGAAGUUCGUACUAGUGUUCUUUGACGACAUACUCGUAUACAGUCGAAACAUAGAGGACCAUAGAGACCAUCUGAGAGUUGUUUUGAAAGUUUUUGCAGAUCAUCAACUCUUUGCAAAUAAAAAGAAAUGCUUAUUUGCGAAACAGUCUGUAGAUUACUUGGGACAUAUCAUUUCUGCAGAAGGAGUAUCUACAGACCCAAGUAAAACGUCAGCAAUGAACAGUUGGCCAACACCGAGGACAGUGAAAGAACUGAGAGGGUUUCUUGGAUUAACCGGCUACUACAGGCGAUUUGUGAGAAAUUAUGGACAGUUGGUUAAACCCUUAACAGAACUACUGAAGAAAGACAAUUUUAUAUGGUCACAAACAGCUCAGUUGGCAUUUGAUACGCUUAAAACAACUCCUUUCACAGUUGUAUACGGACGAGAACCACCUGCAGUGAUCAGAUUUGAGGAAGAGGGUCAACAACAAACUUUGAACUGGAAUCAAGGCUGAGGGAACGUGAUAUGAUGUUGGAACAGAUAAAGGAAAACUUGAGAAGAGCUCAGAGUUUGAUGAAAGCACAGGCUGAUAAGCACCGUCGCCAACAGGAAUUCGACGUAGGGACGAAGAUAUAUCUUAAACUAAGACCGUAUAGGCAAUCGUCAGUUGCAAGAAGACUUUGCCAAAAAUUAGCAGCUCGCUACUACGGGCCUUUUGAGGUUUUGGAAAGAAUUGGCAAAGCCGCGUAUAGGUUGCAACUUCCAGAAGGGUCGAGAAUACAUCCAGUGUUCCAUGUGUCUCAACUUAAAGAAGCAUUGGGAAACGAUCAGCAAGUAACAACGUUACCUUUGGCUUUAUCUUUAAGUGAGGAACCGAUGAUUCAACCAUCAGCUGUGUUAGAUACUCGCUACAAUACGGAAGGUGAAUUGGAGGUGUUAGUAUCAUGGGAUAACUUGCCAGCACACGAAUCCUCUUGGAUAUUAGCUCGUGAAAUUCAGGCUCAAUUUCCAGAUUUUGAGCUUGAGGGCAAGCUCCAAGUCGAAGGGGGGGGGGGGGGGGUAUUGAUAAGCCUUUCAGAGUAUAUGUUCGACGCGAGAAGAAGGUGGAGGAAGAAGAGAAGAGCUGAAGUGGCUAAGAGGACACGUGGAGGAAGUUGAGAGGAAGAAUAGUGUGAACACGUAGAGUAGAGUGUGAACACAUAUAGUAUAAAUAAAGAGUCAUGUUGACUAUAGGGAGUAUGUUGAAUUGUGUUUAGAGUGGCGAUAUGAGCUACAGGAAUUCUGUUAUGGUCGUUAUGAGAUCUAACGGAUUCUGAUACAGGAGAAGAGAGAUCUUGUAUUCUAUUCACAAUCGAUAUACGAAGCAUUUACAGAGA